GGGCGGAAGCCUGAUGCAGCAACGCCGCGUGCGGGAUGACGGCCUUCGGGUUGUAAACCGCUUUCACCCAUGACGAAGCGCGAGUGACGGUAGUGGGGGAAGAAGCACCGGCCAACUACGUGCCAGCAGCCGCGGUGAUACGUAGGGUGCGAGCGUUGUCCGGAAUUAUUGGGCGUAAAGAGCUUGUAGGCGGUUGAUCGCGUCGAUAGUGAAAUCCCGGGGCUCAACCUCGGGCUUGCUGUCGAUACGGGUUGACUUGAGGAAGGUAGGGGAGAAUGGAACUCCCGGUGGAGCGGUGGAAUGCGCAGAUAUCGGGAAGAACACCGGUGGCGAAGGCGGUUCUCUGGACCUUUCCUGACGCUGAGAAGCGAAAGCGUGGGGAGCAAACAGGCUUAGAUACCCUGGUAGUCCACGCUGUAAACGGUGGGUACUAGGUGUGGGUCGCAUUCCACGUGAUCCGUGCCGUAGCCAACGCAUUAAGUACCCCGCCUGGGGAGUACGGCCGCAAGGCUAAAACUCAAAGGAAUUGACGGGGCCCCGCACAAGCGGCGGAGCAUGCGGAUUAAUUCGAUGCAACGCGAAGAACCUUACCUGGGUUUGACAUGUACUGGAAGCGCUCAGAGAUGGGCGUGCCUUUUCGGCCGGUUCACAGGUGGUGCAUGGCUGUCGUCAGCUCGUGUCGUGAGAUGUUGGGUUAAGUC
rnacentral:rRNA from 1 species